GGACCAAGGAGUCUAGCAUGUGCGCGAGUCAUUGGGAUAUUUACUAAACCUAAAGGCGCAAUGAAAGUGAAGGUCAGCCCUGCGCUGACCGAGGGAAGAUGGAUGGUCCCGAGGGACUGUCCCGCAUUCCCGGGGCGUCUCGUUCUCAUUGCGAGAAGAGGCGCACCCAGAGCGUACACGCUGGGACCCGAAAGAUGGUGAACUAUGCCUGGUCAGGACGAAGUCAGGGGAAACCCUGAUGGAGGUCCGUAGCGAUUCUGACGUGCAAAUCGAUCGUCGGAACUGGGUAUAGGGGCGAAAGACUAAUCGAACCAUCUAGUAGCUGGUUCCCUCCGAAGUUUCCCUCAGGAUAGCUGGCGCUCGCUUCUCGCGAGUCUCAUUCGGUAAAGCGAAUGAUUAGAGGCAUUGGGGUCGAAACGGCCUCAACCUAUUCUCAAACUUUAAAUGGGUGAGAUCUCCGGCUUGCUUGAACUGUGAAGCCGCGAGAUUAAGGAUCAGAGUGCCAAGUGGGCCACUUUUGGUAAGCAGAACUGGCGCUGUGGGAUGAACCAAACGCCGAGUUAAAGCGCCUAAAUCGACGCUUAUGGGAUACCAUGAAAGGCGUUGGUAACUUAAGACAGCAGGACGGUGGCCAUGGAAGUCGGA
rnacentral:rRNA from 1 species